rnacentral:lncRNA from 1 species
CUUUUCUUUUUCCCCAUUCUCUCUCGCUCUCCCCACUUUGCCAUCGCUUUCGGUCCUUCCCCCUGUCGCCGACGAUCGCCGGCGCCGACUUCUCCUCUCGUUUUUUCCUCACCGCUGCUCGAUCCCGUCUACGAUCGUUCGAUCCCGUCUCCGAUCCCUCUAAGGCUGUCCUUUCCGCUUCUCGAGCUCUUCCUCUUGCCGGCACCGGCGCUUUCUCGUCUCUCCGAGGUUUGAUCUCUUCUUCCCUUCGAUUUUUUUCUCUCUCAUGUCUAGUCUCACCCCUUGACCGGAACCCUAACCCUAAUUUACUUCUUUCUUGGUCGGCUGUCAUGACUACCCGAAGGUCUCCAACAACGACUCCCCGGCCUUCAGCGUCUGAGAAUUGAGGGGUGCCCCAACCUAGAGAGACAAUAUGCGAAAGGAGGCCGGUANNN